UACGUAGGGUGCGAGCGUUGCCCGGAUUUAUUGGGCGUAAAGGGCGCGUAGGCGGCUCGGCACGUCCGUUGUGAAAUCGCCCGGCUCAACUGGGCGGGGUCAGCGGAUACGGUCGAGCUUGAGCAAGCUAGGGGGUAAUGGAAUUCCCGGUGUAGUGGUGGAAUGCGUAGAUAUCGGGAGGAACACCGGUGGCGAAGGCGGCGACCUGGGUCGAGACUGACGCUGAGGUGCGAAAGCGUGGGGAGCAAACAGG
rnacentral:rRNA from 1 species